GACGGAGGGUGCAAGCGUUGUUCGGAUUGACUGGGCGUAAAGGGCGUGUAGGCGGUUUGUCAAGUCGGGUGUGAAAGCCUGGGGCUCAGCCCCAGAAGUGCAUCCGAAACUAGCGAGCUAGAGCGCGAUAGAGGAGGGUGGAAUUCCUGGUGUAGCGGUGAAAUGCGUAGAUAUCAGGAGGAACACCGGCGGCGAAGGCGGGCUACUGGGCCGAUACUGACGCUGAGGCGCGAAAGCCAGGGGAGCAAACGGG
rnacentral:rRNA from 1 species